rnacentral:rRNA from 1 species
GACGUAGGGGGCCAGCGUUGUUCGGAAUUACUGGGUGUAAAGGGUUCGUAGGCGGUGUGGCAAGUCGGGAGUGAAAUCUCUGGGCUCAACCCAGAGUCUGCUUCCGAAACUGCUGUGCUUGAGUGUGGGGAGAGGCGCGUGGAAUUGCAGGUGUAGCGGUGAAAUGCGUAGAUAUCUGCAGGAACACCCGUGGCGAAAGCGGCGCGCUGGACCACUACUGACGCUGAGGAACGAAAGCUAGGGGAGCAAACAGGAUUAG